UGGGGAAUUUUGGACAAUGGGCGCAAGCCUGAUCCAGCCAUGCCGCGUGCGGGAAGAAGGCCUUCGGGUUGUAAACCGCCUUUGUCGGGGAAGAAAAGCCUUGGGUUAAUACCCUGGGGUGAUGACGGUACCCGAAGAAUAAGCACCGGCUAACUACGUGCCAGCAGCCGCGGUAAUACGUAGGGUGCAAGCGUUAAUCGGAAUUACUGGGCGUAAAGCGUGCGCAGGCGGUUUUGUAAGACAGAGGUGAAAUCCCCGGGCUCAACCUGGGAACUGCCUUUGUGACUGCAAGGCUGGAGUGCGGCAGAGGGGGAUGGAAUUCCGCGUGUAGCAGUGAAAUGCGUAGAUAUAUGGAGGAACACCAGUGGCGAAGGCGACUCUCUGGUCUGUAACUGACGCUGAGGCUCGAAAGCGUGGGGAGCAAACA
rnacentral:rRNA from 1 species